rnacentral:lncRNA from 1 species
CCAUGUUAACCUAGUGUUUCUAUUUAUACUUAGGACAACAUGAGAGCCAAGCAGUUCUGUUUUGAUUGUUAAAAGCAACUGAACAGAGGCAGCAGAUGAUGCAUUUGGGAUAAAGAAAACAAAUGCUAUAAAUACGGAAGCAGAAAAAAUAAACAG